UACGUAGGGGGCUAGCGUUGUCCGGAAUCAUUGGGCGUAAAGCGCGCGUAGGCGGACCUGCAAGUCAGAUGUGAAAUCUCGGGGCUCAACCUCGAAACUGCGUCUGAAACUACAGGUCUAGAAUCUUGGAGGGGGAAGGGGAAUUUCUCAUGUAGGGGUAAAAUCCGUAGAUAUGAGAAGGAACACCAGAGGCGAAGGCGCCUUCCUGGACAAGUAUUGACGCUGAGGCGCGAAAGCGUGGGGAUCAAACAGG
rnacentral:rRNA from 1 species